CAUCACAGGGAAGAGGGUGAACCUGGCCAUAUGGGAUACAGCAGGUCAGGAGCGGUUCCACGCGUUAGGUCCCAUCUACUACAGAGACUCCAACGGAGCCAUAUUGGUCUAUGACAUCACAGAUGAGGACUCAUUCCAGAAGGU